rnacentral:rRNA from 1 species
UCCGGGGGGGGCAAGCGUUGUUCGGAAUUACUGGGCGUAAAGGGCUCGUAGGCGGCCAACUAAGUCGGAUGUGAAAUCCCCAGGCUUAACCUGGGAACUGCAUCCGAUACUGGAUGGCUUGAAUCCGGGAGAGGGAUGCGGAAUUCCAGGUGUAGCGGUGAAAUGCGUAGAUAUCUGGAGGAACACCGGUGGCGAAGGCGGCAUCCUGGACCGGCAUUGACGCUGAGGAGCGAAAGCCAGGGGAGCAAACGGG